UACGUAGGCAGCGAGCGUUGUUCGGAUUUACUGGGCGGAAAGGGUGUGUAGGCGGUUUUCUAAGUUUGGUGUGAAAUCUCCCGGCUUAACCGGGAGGGUGCGCCGAAAACUGGGAGACUAGAGUGCGGGAUGGGAGAGUAGAAUUCCUGGUGUAGCGGUGAAAUGCGUAGAUAUCAGGAGGAAUACCGGUGGUGUAGACGGCUCUCUGGGCCGUAACUGACGCUGAGGAGCGAAAGCAUGGGGAGCGAACAGG
rnacentral:rRNA from 1 species